rnacentral:lncRNA from 1 species
GUCGUAGCCUACCAUUGCCUCAGGAUUCCUCUCGCUCGGGAUGUCGCCGGUGCUGUCGACAAUGAAGUCGUGUCAACACCCGACACCUUUCUACUCCAUCUCCAUCGGCCUACCGUCUCGGCCGCGGCUGGGCUGCAGAGCAGAGUCGCGGUCCCCAGCCGAGCACGAGACCGCCAUUUUAGACAGCUCAAGGCAGCGGCCAUUUCGGAGCGGCCCACUCGCCAGCGACUCAGCUCCUCACCUUCAGCGAGGAUCUAUGGGGCCAGUCGUCGCAGACUGGAGACAGGAGGGAGAGAUGAAAAACAAAACAGAGGGGAGGAAGAUACGGGACGGGGUGAUGCUGUCAACUCGGGAAGGGGGGGACCACCUAAGCCACCUCAAAGGGCUCGACUCUCGCAAGGAGCGGCCUAGGGUCUGAAGGUACACUUAGGGCUCCACUGCGGCCAGACGCUACGGUCUGCGGGAGCGACUUCGCUGUUGUCCAAUCAGCGACAGAGUUUAUCCCUACCACCAAUCCGCGCUGAGUAGUGAGGCGGGACUAAGGGCCAGGUUUGGUUGAAGCGCGGUGUGGCCUGUGAGCGGCUGAGCCGGCUCCGGAAUAGCGGGCUGGCGGGUGAAGCGAUUGUUCUCUGAGUUCUCCGGUCAGUCGUGGGCCUGGCGCUGGUUUAGAGAGCGGAUUCCGGGGCUCCUCCAAUUCCACGUGGCUGAUGCUGUCAGACAGAUGGAGGCCGAGUCGGCAUUUCCCUCAGCUCUGGCGUCCUGCAAGAGCUGCCGUGACAGCUGUGGAUCCGGAGCUCGCGAGCCUAGGCUGAUGGGUCUUAGCGACUUUAAUUCUCCCAGGCUCUACCCCGUGGCUCUUGUCACUCAGUGCUUGAAAGCGGGGAGAAAAAAUUCACCUUCCUCAGCGUGCGUAAUCCUUGACCCGCCAGGGGUUUAGGUUCUGCCAAGGUCAAGCCUAAUGUAGUUAGGUCUCCCAGGAGGCCCAGCAGGACGAAAGGGAAAGUCCUUAGAACUGUCUUUUUCUGAGGUUUAACUCCGAGUUACCAACUCAUCUCAGUUGGGUAGGCUGGCAACAUUUGAGUGUUUUAAGCCAAACAUCUCCGUUCUCCCUCUUUUCCAAAAGGACAGGCAGGCCAAGCUUGAAAUCCUCUGUGUGGGGAUUAAAAGCAUGUGCCACCAGCGAAGCCUAACCCUUGAUAUCAGAACUGAUGGCAGUUGUUUAGCUUAAGGAUAAUUUUGAAAUAAAAUUUCAUUAUUAGUAUAUAUUUAUGUAUGUUCCCAAUGUAAACUUAACAUACCUGGUUUGUGUCUUUGUAAAUUGGAAAAACAAAACAAAACAAAAAGACAAUGGGAAGAAUAAUUAAUUAAGCAUAUUAGUGUUUAAUUAAAAACUAGGAUUUAACUUAGGCCCUAUACGCUGAAGAGUCUAUAGUGUUCUUGAAAUAUACAGAUUUUUUUCUGUAACAGCUGUGUCAAAUUAUAAUUAUUAUAUAUUUAUAUAUAAAAACAUAUUUACAUAUAAUUAUAUUAUAAUAUAUGUUCAGAGAAAAAUGCAUGCAAUGUAAGACUCAGCAAAUAAUGAUAAUAGCACUGUUUAUUGAAUAUACUGUAGGAGCCAGGGGCUGUUUUGUGUACUUUUAUUUUGAUUUUUGAGACAGGGUUUCUUCGUGUAGCCUUGGCUGUCCUAGAACUCGCUCUCUAGACUAGUCUGGCCUUGAAUUCAUAGAGAUCCACCUGCCUCUGUCUUCCAAGUGCUGGAAUUAAAGAUAUGCACCAU